rnacentral:lncRNA from 1 species
UGGGGUCGGACAGCAUGACCUCGUCGGAGGGGAGCUGGGCGCGGCCCUCCAACAGGUUGCCGUAAUACUUGUUGUCGAACAGGUCGGGUGUGACCUGAUCCAGGUUCUUCAGGUCACCCUCACGCUGCCCGGCCGUGCAGUUCUCCCGCGUGAACUGGCACUGCACUUUGCCGAACGUGUGCGCUCCUGGAGUAGUAGAAGUGUAAUGUUAAAAUCAGUGUGUACACAACAUAGAAAAAAUCUUCUAGGAUCGUUCGAACUGUAUACAAAAUUACAUUGCUAAAAACUGAAAUGGUUUGACUUGGUAUGUUUACGUUACCUUGGAGGGCGACGAGGUCAGUGUCGUCGAGGUUGAAGUUUCUGAACUUCUCCUGGAGAACGUUCAGGGAGUCGAAAGGGCUCGGGAGGUUGUUGGCGCUCUCGACGUUGGUCGUCGUGCCGUCUCGCCGGCCGAGCAGCCCGCUCCAUCGUGGCCCUCCUGCCUGCGCCCAUGUCCGUGAUUUCGUGAGUUCAUGUGAGGACUGAGAGAAGCUAGGAGGCGCUGUGCCGACCAAUGCAAGAAGAUCGCGUUACUUACGAGUUCGACGGAGAUCUCAGCCGCUAGGGCGAGGAUAUCAGCGCAGGAGACGAUGCCGGGACACGCGUGCUCCAGCGCGGCCUUGAUGUCGUCGACCACGGGAAAGCCGCGCGCCGAGUUGUUGUUGGCAAGCACGUUCUUCUCGGUCUGGAUCGUCGGGAGGUCGUCGUCAAGGAGGAGCGAGCCGUCGCAGCCCUGGACGAAGCAGUCGUGAAAGUGGAGGCGGAUGAGGCUGGCCGGGAUGCGCGGGUCUGAGACGCGCGCGUUCUGGAUGACGCGCCGGACGACGUCGUAGGCGGUGGGGCACGACGCGUCGUAGAACGUGGAGCUCAGCGCCACGCCACCGGCACUAGCGCCGCCAGCCAAGGCGAGGAGGAGGGCGCAGUGCGCGGCUACCAGCAGCCCAAGAGAAGCGGAGCGAGAGGAAGCGGCCGCCAUGGAUGCGUGUGUGUGCACGUGUAGGGCUCUGAGUCGUUGCUGCCUGAUCACUGAAGACUGAAGAGGCUAGCCGCUUGUACUCACAAGCUCUGGCGAUGGCGCUCGUUGCAAGUGCGUGUAGAGCAGCCAGAGAUGGUUGUGAGUGACUUGUGAGGGGAUGGUCGUCGGGUGCAGCAUAUUUAUAGCCCGGCUCGGUUGGUUACUUGGUUAGUGAUGAUAAGCAGGUGCCCCGACUUUUCUUUGGGACGGUACGUGUCAGGUGCGCGUUUGACAUGUUCCGUUUGCCGCAGCUUGGCAACUGGAUUAGUUUAGCAGUGGCGAUGAUGGCUGCGGCACGCGGUUGCAGCCAGACAUAACAUAUAUCCUUUCAGUAUUGACAGCUGAGGCCAUGGACGAUGACAGCGAGAGGAGAAGUGGUCGUGCUGACUAGUUCUGAGCGAUUACUAGAGAUGACUGCGUGUGUUGUAUAUCGUAGCGAACAUGUUCCAUUAGGUUAUAGUUUGUGAUUUUGAUGAUUGAAUGACAACGUAGUUAUUGGAACUAAUAGUUUGUCAAGCAUGUGCCUUGUAGGUUUCCUAGGUGCCAAGUAUGCAAACCAAACCAGGGCAAAGUCCAAAUCAUGGUAUUCAAACAUCCAAGCCAUGGUAUUCUUGAUAGUCAAAUCACGGUAUUCAAGCAUCCAAGCUAUUGUAUUCGAGCAUCCAAGCUAUGGUAUUCAAGUGACCAAACCAUGGUAUUUAGGAUUAUUCUAAGAUAUUCAAGCAUCCAAAUGAUAAAGAAAAUCCAGAGAUAUUCUCAGAGAAGACAGAAAAAGACCUAUAGCAUCGGAUCAUCCGACGAUCAGGAGUUGGAGGCGUCGGAUGAAGCAUAUUUACUUUGCGAAGUUCUAGAGAGGUUUCGGGCGAAACUCCUUCAGCACCAUUUGUUCCGACGGUGCAUCGGAUGAAGCGUCGGAUGAAGCAUCGGAUAGAUUUUGGAUGUGUCACUAAAGAACUUGGGCGCGGGGAGGCUAACGGCUAGUUGCACCGAAUGUUCUGAUACAUGCCAAAAUAGACCAUUGGAACAUCGAAUGGUAUACUUUAACUAGACGUUGGAGCAACGGCUCUUUGGUAUCUUGGACUAUUUAUACCCCCUCCACUCGUCCAUUUGAAGUUGCUGGAGUGUGCAGGAAUCUAUUGGAGAUCAAAACUCAUCAAGAACAUAUUCAAGCCACCAAAAGUGCCUAAGUGAUUUAUCAAAGCUUAGAAGGGUGAUUAGUGUCAGAAUAGGCCUAGAGAAGAGAGAGUGCAAGGUGUGCCUACCUUGUGAUCGGUUCAAGGAGUGAACCACAGCUGUACAAGGUGUGCCGGCACCUUGAAGCCUUGGUGGCUCGCCGGCAAGUCUUCGACCCUCCAACUUGGUGUGGAGCGGUGUCGACAACUGUGUGCGGGGAUGUGGAGAUCACCUUCCUUCGUGGAGAAGCUCUUUAGUGAAUGCGGCAUCAAGGUAACUGGGGAACUUGAUGUGAGCGUUAGUGAUCAAGCCUCUGUGGCAAGUCAAGGGGUGUCCCGGAAGAGAUUUGGUGACUGGGAAGCAAUACUCUUGUGUGAGUGCUUCAACAAUGUGGACUAGUGGUGGCUUAGUGCCUACCAAUACCACGGGAUAAAUCAUCGUGUCAAGAGUUUACUUUCCCUCAUCCCCUUCUCUUACAUUUCUUGUUUAUAUUCUUGCAACUUGUGUGCCUUUACAUUCUUAAUGUAGUAUCUUAUUAGGAUUGGCUCUAGGUUGCAAAACUUGUUUCGGGAUGAGGGUUUCAUACUAGAUCAACCAUAGUUGCAUAUCUUGAUAGCAUGAUCUAGUUUAAGUUUGAUGCAAAAAUAAUAGAAAUCAUAGGUUAAAGUUUUAAGUUGCCUAAUUCACCACAUUCCCCUCUUAGACUACGAGCACCGAUUCGAUACAUACAUACAUAUAUAUAUACAUACAUACAUAUAUAGAGAGACUCUUUGUUACAACUUGCAAGCGGUAUGAAAACGGGAAGGUGCCCGAGACCCUUGGCCAGUUCUUCACAAAAGUAGCAAAAGGAUAUCAGAGUUGCGAGUGUAUGGGGCCAGUGCGCAGUGGGAGUGAGAGUGGGUGCAGCUGCCGACCGGAGACCAAGUGUUGCCGCAGCUGCGAGGAAACGGCCGAUCGAGUGGGACUCUUCGUGGGAGAGUAAUCAGACUCAGACAGCGGCUCCAAGCAGCUUGACAACGGUACAUCUUUAAUGUUGCAUGCAGUUGCUUCUCAUUCUUGGAUGCAUAUUGCAGGUGCAGACGUGCAGUGAUGCAUGUAUCUAGUCGAUCUAGUGGCCGGUUGUUGCAAUCCAUCUUCUCUGAGUUUACGUGGUCAUCAUGCUUUUGCAAUUUGUGUCUUGUUCCCUCCUAAUAAAAAUCAGAAGACAAAUCUCUUGCCGUUCCGUUCAAGAAAAAAAAACUGUGCUUUUGCAAAAGGGUGCAUUCUUUCACAGGACAAAGUCCGUUUAAGCUUGUUCAACAAUAUCUCGAGUUUGGUUUCCCCUACUGCAAUAUCAGAAUCGAGGCACCCUCAAAGCAUAUGUACCAUUGUAUCCGAAAUUUAAAUACAAACGAAUGAUUUUAGUGAUAUUAUCUACAGGUUCGGUUUGGUUUCGGAUUUGGUACUGCUUUGCUCACAUUGAGUUCCAGGCUUAUUUCCUUUCUUUUGGAUUUUUAUUUAUGUCUUGUAAUGCUGGAGGCACCGUCUUAGCAAUCACGUUCAAAGCCCAAAACAAUAUUUAUCUUGAAAUAAAUUUCCUUCGUCUAAAGAUCUACUCCCUCCGUUCCAAAUUAUAGGUCGUUUUGACUUUUCUAGAUACAUAGAUAUUAUUAUGUAUCUAGACAUAGGGUAUAUCUAAGUGCAUAAUAAAGUCUAUGAAUCUAAUAAAGUCAAAACGACCUAUAAUUUGGAACGGAGGAAGUAUAAUGCGCCCAUUAUUUACAUAUUUACAGAUCUAUGAGGUAGUGUGCAUGCAUAGUGGUUGCACCAUUUUGUGCAUUGCCUUGUAAGAAGAAAGAGACAAGAUACUAUCAAUAACAUGCAAAAACACCCUAGGUCCAUCCAAAGGGAGUUUUGUGCUGAAAUGCCAGUGUUUUUUCAGCGAGUUUGUUGAGAAACACACAAAAUUCAAAUUAGUUGUCAAAAGUUUCGAGCCAAUCCAAUGCUUCAUGGUAUGAGAUUUCUACAAUAAUAAAAUAAUGUAGUGCAUCUAGUACUAUUUACUCAUUUGUACUCUAUAUUUUUGUUAUCGAAACAUUUUAAUGAAACUAAAAUAAAAUAUGAGAAAAGUUGGUUUUAGCAAUAUUUGAAAACCCAGGCUACUUUGUAUCCUUUACCUUUUUGUUGAUUUAUUGUUUGAGCUUCCACCUCAGAUAAAGAACAGCCUACACAGAAAAUACCACAUCAAUAAAAAGUUCGUUUGACUUCCGUUUUAUUUGUUUCGGAUGGAUGGAGGGGGAGGUUAAAGUGGAAUUAUUCUUCUUCUUUUUUUGCAGUUUCUACCCUAGUUACUUGCUAGAUUGCUUCGUUUGGCAGCCCAACCAUGAGUGGCUUGUGCCAACUCUGUUUGAGGAAUACAUUGCCCAAUUUGGACUUUUCUUUAUUUUUAUGUCUCAAGAAUAGGUCUACGGUGCACUUAGAAAAGAUGGCAAGAGAAUUGCCGUGUUAUAUUAAUAGAAAGGAAAAAAGAAAAGAAAAUAACCGUAAAAGGACAACAACUGAAAAGUUGUGGAGAGACCUAGAGAACGCAACACCUACAACCGGGAUCAAUAACACGAGGGGAUGAGGACAACUAACACAACAGUAUAACUAAAGAAAAAGCAAGACAUCACUACAUCGCAAAAGAAAAAUCGACUUGGGAUGGAAAGACCACACGCAACUACGACUGAUCAUUUAUAGCUUCGUUUAGACCGUAUAUCAUAAUUCUAUUUUUCGUAUAUUUCCUUUGUCAUAUAGUACAACAUAUUUGAUUUGUAUUGUCUCGUGAAGGAAUGGAACUUAUAACAUUGUAAAAAAGAAUAAAUACAGAUUUUUGAGCUAGUUGUUCUGAAUAUGUUGGAUUGACAUCUGUCGAUUGUUUCUUCACUUCAUUUCGAUUCUUUUUUACAGUCUUGCAAAAUUUUCCAUUGAGUUUAUCAAAACGCAUUUGAUAUUAUAUUUGCUAAAAGAAAUGCAAAGAAUAGUUCUUGGAAUGCAAAGAAACAUUUUCACACUUGUUUCACGAAAUGGGGUCAGCUCAUACUUACAAAAAGGACCGAGAAAAGAAUCGAAAUAAUGAUGAUUUACAAAUUACAACAUCAUAACAUGAUAAAAACAUCAAUCUGAAUCAGAGUCUUCAAUAACCUUUGCUAUUGACCCUCCGGCAGUUCUUCCUGAUCUCUCCAUCCUUCCCAGUCAGAGGGCUAAUGUUCCCCAUCUUAAUCAUGGACGCCGCGAAGUUCCUGAAGAAAUCCUUCUGGUUGCUCGCGAAUCGGUGAACAAUGGGUGCAGUUGUCGCCGGCGCAGCUGGGUCCGACAGCAUGACCUGGUCGGAUUCGAGCUGGGCGCGGCCGUGCAAGAGGUUUCCGUAAUACUUGUUGUCGAACAGGUUGGGUGUCGCCUGGUCCAGGUUCUCCAGUGAAUCCACGGGUUGCCCGGCCGUGCAGUUCUGCCGCGUGAACUGACACUGCACUUUGCCAAACGUGUGCGCUCCUGGAGUAGUAGAAAUUUGUUGUUGAAAUAGUGUUCUAGGUUUGAACUGUGUACACAAAGUUACAUUGAUGAAAACUGAAAUUUUUUUGAC